GACGAACGCUGGCGGCGUGCUUAACACAUGCAAGUCGAACGGAAAGGCCCUGCUUGUGUGGGGUGCUCGAGUGGCGAACGGGUGAGUAACACGUGAGUAACCUGCCCUUGACUUUGGGAUAACUUCAGGAAACUGGGGCUAAUACCGGAUAGGAGCUCCUGCGGCAUGGUGGGGGUUGGAAAGUUUCGGCGGUUGGGGAUGGACUCGCGGCUUAUCAGCUUGUUGGUGGGGUAGUGGCUUACCAAGGCUUUGACGGGUAGCCGGCCUGAGAGGGUGACCGGCGACAUUGGGACUGCGAUACGGCCCAGACUCCUACGGGAGGCAGCAGUGGGGAAUAUUGCACAAUGGGCGGAAGCCUGAUGCAGCAACGCCGCGUGCGGGAUGACGGCCUUCGGGUUGUAAACCGCUUUCGCCUGUGACGAAGCGUGAGUGACGGUAAUGGGUAAAGAAGCACCGGCUAACUACGUG
rnacentral:rRNA from 1 species